rnacentral:rRNA from 1 species
UACAGAGGUCCCAAGCGUUGUUCGGAUUCACUGGGCGUAAAGGGUGCGCAGGCGGCCAAGUGUGUUAGGCGUGAAAGCCCGGGGCUUAACCCCGGAAUUGCACCUAAAACUACAUGGCUAGAGCAUUGGAGAGGGUAGCGGAAUUCACGGUGUAGCAGUGAAAUUCGUAGAUAUGGGGAGGAACACCGGUGGCGAAGGCGGCCACCUGGACGGUAACUGACGCUGAGACGCGAAAGCGUGGGGAGCAAACAGG